AGUCUUUGUUUGUAUUUUAGAAUUCACUUUCUUAAAUAAAAGCUGCACUUGGGUUCUUACAACUUGCCAUUCAGUGGACUGCUUAUUGCACUCUAAGGUUUAAGCUUGAAUUCCUCCAGGGAAUGCAUGAACUGAUUAAAAAGUGUUUACCCUCAAUGCAAUGCAGUCGCUUUGGAUAAAAGGACCUGCCAAAUGCAUAAAUGUAAAGAAUCGCAUGGACAUAUUGCAGCUCAGGGAAAAUCCACCCUGUGGAGAACAGUGACAGCCCAAGGACAUGUUCUGAAGGCCUUCAGACAAUUUGGAGAGGGAAAAAAAGUGCUAAAACCAUUGUAAACUCAUCAAACCAGCGGGAUGUGAGCUGAACUGGAUCAAGCUGCUGGAUGACUCAUCUUUUGGACCAGCUUUUUAAAGCCCAUCCACAAUUAGUCAGGGGUAUUGCCCUGUUUUCUCAAGUGCAGGUGGUCGUGUUAAUCGGACCGGCAUGCUAAUUGGGAUGCAUCUGUCCUUGUAAUCAAGGGCAGCUACCUGGAAAACUGCAGUAGACAUGCUGGCUAUAGGAAAGUGUUUUGUAAAACAUUAAAUGGGUCACAAGAAAGCAACGCACCAUUGCCCCAACACCACCUUUUUUUUUCAAUCUGCAGAAGAGCCAAAAAAAAAAAAGAGCCUUGCACGUGGAGUCCACUUUUUGGAAAGUCCAGCCGUCUUCACUGAGGCACACACGAACAUUCACAAAAUUAAUCAGAGUGUUUGAGCUACCAGGAGUAAGCCAAGGCACUAAAAGCCACUGAAUUUAUUUAGCUUUUAUUUGACAUUUUAUUUUACUAAAUAUGUUUGUAUAGUUUUAUUUGAUCUUUAUUUUGUAUUUUUGUUCUGUUUUUAUUUUUCGCUCUUAUUUAUUUGACAAUUUAAUUUCUCCAUUUGUUUUUGGCUUUUUUUGCAGAAACCAUAUAAGAAGUUUUUAAAUGUAUCUUUAUUUUUCAUACUAUGCUUAGUCUUUGAGUAUUUUUGGUAUUUUUAUGGGGGUUACAUUUCUCAGGGCUAGGGAUAUCGCUGCCUAAUGGCUUUUAUUUCUAUUUAAUUAAUUUUCAUAUUUUAUUAUUUAGGUUCUUUAAAAUAAUAUUUUUUUUUUUUUUUAUUGUAUAGUCACAAAAAUGUAUUUUAGUCUAAUCCAAUUGUAUUUAAUUUAUUCUAAUUUUACUUAAUGAAAAUGUUUCAUUUAGCUUAAAUUACGCUGCUGAUGGUCUCUUUGUAAUUGCCCACAUG